CCUUGGGGACAUUUCGGGUGGCGCUGGUGGCACCUCCCCUGUCCGUGGGGACCCCCCCGUGGCCGCCCCCUGUCCCCUUCUGUCCCCCCCCCGGCCCAAAGGGGACACUUGGUGGCCCCACGGGGAUGUCCGAAAGGGGACGCCCAAAGGGGGCGGCACUGGUGGCACCGCUGGUGGCACUGGUGGCACCUCUUGUCCCCACGGGGCCAUCUCCAGUGCCACCAGUGCCACCUCUCCAGUCACUGGUGUCUCUUCUUGUCCCCAGGGUGCCACCUCUGGUGUCCCUGCUGCCACUUCUGGUGCCACUGGUGUUACUGGUGUCACUGGUGUUACUGGUGUUACUGGUGUUACUGGUGACUGGUCUCGUGCCACUGGUGUCCGUCCUUGUCCCCACGGGGCCAUCUCCAAUGUCACCGCUGUCACCUCCUGUGCCCCCAGUGCCCGUCCUUGUCCCCAUGGCUCCAUCUCCAGUGCCACCGGUGCCACCUCCCAUGUUACUGGUGUUACUGGUGUCACUGGGGACCGGUCUCGCGUCCCCAGUGUCCGUCCUUGUCCCCAUGGCUCCAUCUCCAGUGCCACCAGUGCCCCCCCUUGUGCCAGCGGUGUCCCUGGUGCCACCUCCCGUGCCACUGGUGUUACUGGUGUUACUGGUGCCACUGCUGUCACUGAUGAUACUGGUGCCACUGGCGUCACUGGUGUUACUGGUGUUACUGGUGUUACUGGUGACCGGUCUCGUGUCCCCAGUGUCCGUCC
rnacentral:lncRNA from 1 species